GAAAGCAGUCUUGCUAGCUCAGAAAAGGUUGUAGCAGUUUAUAAAUUUAUCGAAGCCAUAACAAAAAUCUCGUCCAUGGACAAAACUCUCGCUCAAGACGUGUGUACCCGUGUUGUGGCAGAGACGUUUGAAGAUGAAGACGCUAUUAGUGUUCUCCAAGCUUUUGCUACAAUAGAGAAAUGUUUACCCUCUGUUCGAGGGUGCUACAUAUCUCAUGUAAAGAAAAUAUUAACACCAGAGCUGAUAAAGAAGUCAAGUCACUUCCUUCAAGAAUACUCAAGCAACAGG